rnacentral:rRNA from 1 species
AUGGUUCUAGAGAGGACCAAAGCUGGGGUAUUGAGUCCAGGAGUGUCCAAAGAAGUGUUUGAACUAACGGGUAUACCUCAGCGGACGGUGCAAAACUGGUGGAAGAAAUGUAAGGAAGCUGGUGGAAUACACGCACUGGAAAACAAACGGGCAAAAAACUGUGGCCGCAAGAGGAUAGAAUUCGAUCCGGAGGCUAUCAAACAAGUGGAUUUGAGGAAAAGAACAACUCUUAAAGAUUUGGCAAAUGAGUUGCACAUGGCGAAGACGACACUAUGGCGUCGUUUGAAGGAGGGCCUGUUGAGGCGUCACACAAAUGCCAUCAAAUCGACAUUGACGGAUGAAAACAAGGUAGGACGGGUAAGGUUUUGCUUGUCAAUGUUUGAUGAGCAUACUCUUCCUCAGGAUCCCAAAUUCAAAGAGAUGUACAACGUCAUUCACAUUGACGAGAAAUGGUUCUACCGUUCCCGCGGUAGCCAGAAUUACUAUUUGGCGAACGAUGAAGAAGAUCCAUACCGUAGCACGCAAAGCAAAAAUUUCAUUGAGAAGGUCAGAAAUCUUUUUUUUUUAGUUUCAAUAUCUGUAUUGUUAAGAUUGGCAUGA